UGCGAUCUCUCUGCCUGCAACUCGGCUGUCUUCCUUCCUGGGAAACUCCGAACGCUUUGUCUUCUGGAAGCCAGAACCGUGCGUGCACCUCCCAGAGGGAGCUUGGAGCCAGAGGAAAUGGGCCCUGAGAGUCUCAGACCUCCUCAGGAGUGGGUGACAUUCAGGGAUGUGGCUGUGGACUUUACCCAGGAGGAGUGGGGCCUCUUGGACCCUCCUCAGAAGGAGCUGUACAAGGGGGUGAUGCUGGAGAAUGCCCGGAAUCUGCUGUCCCUGGGGCUUCCAGUUUCCAGAGAAGAUGUGAUCUCUUAUUUUGAGCAAAGGGAAGUACCCUGGAUGCUGCACCCAGAAGGUCUGAGGAGCUGCCCUCCAGAAAGGGAGAUUAGACUUGAAAAAAAGGAAAGGACAGCAGAGCUAAGCCUUUUUGUGGAAGGAAUUCUCAAACCAAGAUUCAUCAAUAAUGGUCCUGCUAACUUCAUUUGGAAAGAGAUCUGUGAUACACAUGAGAAAAUCCUCAUUAAAGAGAAAUCUUAUGAGCAUAACCAAAGUGGAAAAACUUUCAGAGAAAGGACAGCUGUUCCUAGACAUUUACAGAGAAUUUAUACUGAAGAGAAACCUUAUAAAUGUAACCAAUGUGGAAAGGCUUAUAAAAAAAAGGAAACUGUUAUUGUUCAUCAGAGAAUCCACACUGGAGAGAAACCUUAUGAAUGUAACCAAUGUGGAAAGGCAUUUACACAAAAGAGAGUUCUUACUAAACAUGAGAGAAUCCACACUGGAGAGAAACCUUAUAAAUGUAACCAAUGUGGAAAGGCUUUUGCAGAAAGGGGAGCUCUUACUGGACAUCAGAGAAUCCACACUGGAGAGAAACCUUAUGAAUGUAACCAGUGUGGAAAGGCUUUUGCAGAAAGGGGAGCUCUUACUGGACAUCAGAAAAUCCACACGGAAGAGAAAUCUUAUAAAUGUAACCAGUGUGGGAAGGCUUUUAGAGAAAGGGGAAAUCUUAUUGUACAUCAGAGAAUCCACACUGGAGAGAAACCUUACAACUGUAACCAUUGUGGAAAGAGUUUUAGGAAAAAGGAUACUCUUAUUGUACAUCAGAGAAUCCACACUGGGGAGAAGCCUUACAAAUGUAACCAGUGUGGAAAGAGUUUUAGGAAAAAGGAAGCUCUUAUUGUACAUCAGAGAAUCCACACUGGAGAGAAACCUUAUAAAUGUAACCAGUGUGGAAAGACUUUUAGGAAAAAGGAAUAUCUUAUUUUACAUCAGGAAAUACACACUGGAGAGAAACCUUAUAAAUGUAACCAGUGUGGAAAGACUUUUAGGAAAAGGAGAGGUCUUAUUGUACAUCAGAGAAUCCACACUGGGGAGAGUCCUUAUGAAUGUAACCAGUGUGAAAAAACUUUUAUUUAUAAGUCUAGUCUUGCUGUACAUCAGAGAAUCCAUACUGGAGAGAAACCUUAUAAAUGUAACCAGUGUGAAAAAACUUUUCUUUAUAAAUCUAGUCUUUCUAUACAUCAGAGAAUCCACACUGGCGAGAAACCUUAUGAAUGUAACCAGUGUGGAAAGACUUUCAGAAAAAAAGGAUGUCUUGUUAUACAUCAGAGAGUCCACACUGGGGAGAAACCUUAUAAAUGUAACCAGUGUGGAAACGCUUUUAAACAAAGGGUAAGUCUUACUCGACAUCAGAGAAUCCACAUUGGAGAGAAACCUUAUAAAUGUAACCAAUGUGAAAAGGCUUUUACAAAAAGGGCAGCUCUUACUGGACAUCGGAGAAUCCACACUGGGGAGAAAUCUAACGAAUGUAAACAAUAUGGAAGGGGUUUUAUAUAAACAUCUGAUUAGUUAUUGCCAGUUCUGUGAUGAAAUGGAAAACCAUUAAAAUAAGCAGAAAAAGCGGGAAAACAUUGGGAGAAGAUGAUGUGUUGCUUCUGCCUUCCAUACUUAUCUUUCUCUUGCUAUAAUCCUAUAGGAAGAGAUAAUUAAAGAUGCCUGUGAAUAGCAGAAAGCCUCUUAGUCAUAUUGGAGCCUUCUUUUCCUUCUGGUCAGGCAUUCUGAUGGAAUGAAAAGAUAACUAGAUUUGGAGUCAAGAGGACAUGGGUUCAAUUUCUGAUUCUGUAUCUCUGUGGCCUUGACAAAAGUAAUUUAACUUUAACGGUGCAUUCAGGUUAGGAUUGGGUCUCUUCCAGCUCUAAAUCCUUUGAGAAGCUCAACAAGAGCUUGAAGAUAAACCCUACCCUUCAAUACCACAUUCCUGGGUUCUCAGGUUCAUAUUAGGGCUAAUAAUUCAGGUGACAUCACUAAGCUUUCUGGGUAUGAUUGGCACUUGGGAGACUCAGCACGAUAUGGGAAAUUCUCAACCUAGUGCUUUGUUGAAUGAGGAAACUUGCACAUCAUUUCUAAAUAAAUAAAUCUAUGCAGCUCAUGAAACAGAUUUUUUGCUUUAGUUGUUUAGGCAGAAAAUAUGUUUUAUUAAGAUGCUUUUAAGAAUGAAAGGUUUCCAAUCUAAGUUUCACCUUAUAUCUGAUCAAAUUGGCAGAGCUUUCUAAAAGCUGGAAAUAGUAUUGGGGGGUUAUAGAAUUAGAAGCACAGUAAUACAUUGUAUGUAGUUAUGAAUUGGUCCAACUUCUUAAAAGUUUUAUUAGGUAUUUAUUGGUAUUAGGAUUUAUUGAAAAGUGAUUAAAUAUCCAGACUUUGUGACACAGAGACUGCUGCAAGGCUUGAACUUUAAGGAAGUGAGGGAAGCAAUUGUUCUAGCCAUACUAAAAUAAUCGUAGUGGCUUUUUUUUUUUUUACUUUAUUUUUUUGGUAGCAAAACAAAAUACAGGUGCAAAAAAGAAACAAAAUAGGUGUUGUUUAGUUGGAGAAUGUCUAAACAAAUUGUGGUGAUGAACAUAUUUAAAUGAUGUUACAUGAAAAACUGGAUAGGAAGAAUUCAGAGAAGCAUGGGGAUAUGGAAAUGAAGGGAGAUGGAUUGAAGUGAGCAAAACCCAAACAUUAGUGACUCCCUCAAAUACCAGUGAUCUCUUCAACUUGAAAUUCCUUGCAACCAUGGAGAUUCAUAUCUGUGUUCAUUCUGUGUAUUUCUUGCCUGUAUUUCACAUAAAUUCACAAAAGAUCCAUCCAAUAUGAUGGAGUUCUUCCUUACUUUCUCUUACCAUCUGAAGAGCACUUGUUCUGGCUUAUUCACUUAUCAGUGCUCUUCCUUGCCAUGUGUCCACCUCAUCUUCCCUUGUUCUACAAUUCUUUCAUGUGAAGUAUGAGCAAUGUCAAUUAUCCCAACAGAGGACACCAAGAAAUUUCAGAAAAUGCUUUGAUCAGCACAUGAUUCCCUCGAUAAUUGGAGAAGCAACUGCCAAAGAUGAUACCAACUGGAUUACAAAUUAGCUUGUAAAAUUUAUGAUCUCUUUGUGCUAACAAUGGAAAAACACAACUCUGAGCCCCUACAAUUUGUCAUUCUCAAUAGGUUUAUACAUUAGGCAGAAAUGGGGGCCUUCACCAGUUGCUGGGUCUAUCUUCAGUCUGGACUGACUGAAGGCCAUUCAGUCUGCAUUUCUAUUUGCAGAGUUCUGUCUCACUUAAAUCCAACUCACUUGUAAAUCAAAACAUGAACCGUUGAUGGUGCCAGGGCUCUUUGAGAACAAAGAUAGACUUCAGAAAAACCUAGAAAGGCUUACAAGAACUGAUGCUGGAAUCAAAAGAACAUUGUACACAGUAACAGCACCAUUGUGGAGAUGAUCAGUUUUGAUACACUUUGUUACUCUAAGCAAAAGAGUGAUCUGAGCAAUUCUAAAAGAUCCAUGUUGCAAACUGCUGUCCACAUCCAAAGGAAGAACUAUAGAGUCUGAAUAUAGCAUGAACACAACUAUUUUCACAUUGAUUUUUUUUUCAUUUUUUCCUUUCACAUUUAUUUCCCCUUUUGUUCUGAUUCCUCUUUCACAAUAUGACUAAUGUGGAAAUAUGCUUAACACAGUUGUCCAUGUAUAACCUAUAUUAGAUUGCUUGUUUUCUUGGGAAGGGACAGGGAAUAGAAAGAGGGUGAAAAUUUUCCAACAUAAAUCUUACCAAAAUGAGUGUUGAAAACUAUCUGUACCUCUGAUUAUAAAUAAGUGUGGGGAGGGUAAGGAAUAAUAUAAGUUUUAAAAAAUCAAUUGGAAACUGAAAAGAUCAAAGAACAAAUCAGGAAAAAAAUAAAUUCAUUUUUAAAAAUGGCUGAGAAAUGAGCAGAACCAAGAGAUCAUUAUAUACUUCAACAACAAUACUAUAUGAUGAUCAAUUCUGAUGUACGUGGCCAUCUCCAGCAAUGAGAUGAACCAAAUCAGUUCCAAUGGAGGAGUAAUGAAUUGAACCAGCUACACCGAGGGAAAGAACUCUGGGAGAUGACUAUGAACCACUACAUAGAAUUCCCAAUCCCUGUAUUUUUGUCCACCUGCAUUUUUGAUUUUCUUCACAGACUAAUUGUACACUAUUUCAAAGUCCAAUUCUUUUUGUACAGCAAAAUAACUGUUUGGACAUGUAUACUUAUAUUGUAUUUAAUUUAUACUUUAAUAUAUUUAACAUGUAUUGAUUAACCUGCCAUCUGGGGGAGGGGAUGGGGGGAAGGAGGGCAAAAAUUGGAACAAAACGUUUGGCAAUUUCAAUGCUGUAAAAUUGCACAUGCAUAUAACUUGUAAAGAAAAAGCUAUUAAAAAAUUAAAUUUAAAAAUGA